AAUAACUGAAAACAAAGAAAUAGGAACAGGUUUGAAAUAUUUCAAACCACUAAACAAUGUUUAUGACUCCAACAACAGCAGUUCUAAGCACGUUUUCUAACAAUAUCACACGUCGGGAUCAAGCACUUCCCCAGACAGAAUGUUCCUUCAACAAUUUUGUCAGCAGAUCAAUAGGGUGCAUUCCUUUUGAAGUGGUCUAUGGAUUUCCACCUCACACUCCCCUCGAUCUCAAUUCAUUACCAUUGCCUCCUAGGCCUAGUAAGGCUGACCUAGAUUUUUCUAGAUAUAUAAGGGAUGUUCAAGAAUAAGUCAAGCGGUGGUUUUCCCUUAGUACAUAAUCAUAUGCGGCUUCUGCAAAUAUAAGGCGAAAAGACAGGCAACUCAACGUUGGUGAUAUGGUUCUUAUUCGCUGAAGGCCAAAACGAUUUCCUCAAGGAAGUUUUACCAAGCUGCAUGCACGUUUCGCAGGUUCUUUUCGAGUUACCAAGAAAUUGGGCGCAGAUGUGCACCUACUCUUCAUAUUCCUAAGAACAUCGAUCCUCGAGAUGAGAUUGCAUCCAUCCUUGACCAUCAAUUUGUUACUACCUAUCGUGUGGGAUACUAGAAGUUUUUAGUACAAUGGAAAAUCAUUCCAAUUCAGAAUCAGUUUGGUUACAAGCCACAAAACUCCAAAUCUUACAUCCAGAUUUAUUUGCUGAGUAUGCUCGUCAAAGCUUGUCGGAGUCAAGUUCUGCAAGGGAGCCGCCAAUUGAUUCAAAUCAGGAAGUUGUUCCUUAAAUCAUGGGGUUCUGCCAACAGAGAGAGGGACCUUAAAUCAUGGGGUUCUGCCAACAGAGAGAGGGACCUUAGGACGCAUAUUUGAUUAUGUCAAAUCCAAUUUCAUGUUUGUUAUUCCUUUCCUAGUUUGUUAGUUAGUUUCCUAUUUGAAUUUUGUUUCCUAGAUUGUAGUUCUUAGUUGAAUAUUUAGAAUGAAAAUAAAAGAAGGCAAUAGCCAUCUUUGACAAUUUUAUGAGA